UUUUAGCCCUGGUGGGUAGCUUCCCGGAAACGAAAGUCUUCCGGUUCCGGGGGAAGUAUGGUUGCAAAGCUGAAACUUAAAGGAAUUGACGGAAGGGCACCACCAGGAGUGGAGCCUGCGGCUUAAUUUGACUCAACACGGGGAAACUCACCCGGCCCGGACACCGUAAGGAUUGACAGAUUGAUAGCUCUUUCAUGAUUCGGUGGUUGGUGGUGCAUGGCCGUUCUUAGUUCGUGGAUCGAUUUGUCUGGUUUAUUCCGAUAACGAGCGAGACUCUAGCCUACUAAAUAGUAACGAGAUUAUCAAUGUCUCAGUUGCUUCUUAGAGGGAUUUUCGGUGUUUAGCCGCACGAGAUUGAGCAAUAACAGGUCUGUGAUGCCCUUAGAUGUCCGGGGCUGCACGCGCGCUACACUGGCGAAAUCAGCGUGCUGUAUCCAUUCUCGAAAGGGAUUGGUAAACCCAUGAAAAUUUGCCGUGCUUGGGAUCGGAAAUUGCAAUUAUUUUCCGUGAACGAGGAAUUCCAAGUAAGUGCGAGUCAUCAACUCGCUCUGAUUACGUC
rnacentral:rRNA from 1 species